GAAGGUGUAGCUCAGUGGUAGAGCAUAUGCUUAGCAUGCAUGAAGCCCUGGGUUCAAUCCCCAGUACUUCCA
rnacentral:tRNA from 1 species